ensembl:misc_RNA
CUUCCACGUGUGCAGGGUUCAGCAUCCUUGGGGCCUCAACUGCUUAUCCAUCCUGGGUCGAUCCUCUGCAUAUGAGCAGUAAGCUCUCCCCUCAGGGUCCUGGCCCCUACCUCCAAGCCCU